GAGCCAGGAAAGUUGAUCAAACUCCGUCAUUUAGAGGACAUAAAAGUCGUAACAAGGUAACCUAGGGUGGGGGAUAACGUAACGAAAGUUACGCUAAUACCACAUACGAUCUACAGAUGAAGGUGGGGGAUGCGCAAGCACCUCAUGCGCGUGAAGCGGCAGAUAUCUGAUGGGCUGGUUGGGGGGGUAAAGGCCUACCAAGGCUACCAUCAGUAGCUGGUCUGAGAGGACGACCAGCCACGCUGGAACUGACACACGGUCCAGACUCCUACGGGAGGCAGCAGUGGGGAAUUUUGGACAAUGGGGGCAACCCUGAUCCAGCAGUGCCGCGAGAGUGAAGAAGGCCUUCGGGUUGUAAAGCUCUUUUGUCAGGGAAGAAACUGCGGGGGCUAAUAUCUCCUGCUAAUGACGGUACCUGAAGAAUAAACACCGGCUAACUACGUGCCAGCAGCCGCGGUAAUACGUAGGGUGCAAGCAUUAAUCGGAAUUACUGGGCGUAAAGCGUGCGCAGGCGGUUUGGUAAGACAUAUGUGAAAUCCCCGGGCUUAACCUGGGAAUUGCAUUUGUGACUGCCCGGCUAGAGUGUGUCAGAGGGUGGUCGAAUUCCACGUGUAGCAGUGAAAUGCCUAGAGAUGUGGAAGAAUACAGAUAGCGAAGGCAACCUCCUGGGAUAACACUGACGCUCAUGCACGAAAGCGUG
rnacentral:rRNA from 1 species